rnacentral:lncRNA from 1 species
GUGCCAGUUGUCCUCAGGGGUUCCAAUUCUACUGCCUCCUACAACAAGUAGACUUUUGAUGACCCAAAAAACCUAGGCCUUAUUCAGUGAGAAGUCUUCAUCUCCCUUCACCCAGAAGAACAUCCAUCAGUGGAAUUCCCUCCCUCCCAAAAUAGGACAUGAUCUGACCUUCAAAAUUCCUGAUUUAGAAAUCUUUGAAAUAGAUUGCUUCCUGUUAUUCCUGAAGCACUGAAUGGAAAACCCUUCAGGAAGUGAAUGGGGAGAAAAAAGCGGCUUUUCCCAAAAGUAGUGGCCAAAUACUCUUCAAAGGACAAUCAUCCCAAGAUUGAGCCAAAGUUUCCAUAUUUCCAUCUUCAGAAUUAUUCAUUAUUGAAAGAAGAUUUCUUGUCCAGAACUAAGGAGAUACCACACUUUUAUCAGGCUAGAACCAAAUUAUUACCACUUUCAAAAAGAAAGUUUAUACCUGUAUCCUCAGAAUCCCAGAAACAAAGGGAAAAAAUUCAGCAUCAAUCUGAAUUUGGUGAUCAGAAAAUGGCUGUGCUGUUAGCUUAUCUUGACAAUUGGAACAUGGCUAAACCACUCAUACCCCAAAAGCAACAUUAUAUGGCCACAGUUUUACCUUCAAUAUACAAGGAGUACAAGAUUAAGGAAAUCCCUGUGUCUUUACCAUCCCUAAACCAAAAUGUAACAUCUCUACCCAGUCUUGACCACAAGAUUCCAUCUCUAGUUCAUCCUGACUCUUUGGAAAACAAUUCUUUGGACUCUGACCAGAUACACAAGAUUCCAUAGUACCUGUCAUACUUCAACCAGUGGCUCAUAUCCUCUCCAAUGAACAUUGAUUUGAGAUCCCACUUAUUCUCUACUCCCAGGAUAGAGCUGAGCCCUACUUGGCAGUUUCAUCACACUCAAGUCACUAGUUUGAAGCUGCCUGAGUCCAUGCCUACCAAGCUAAAUCUCUUCCAAGCCUGAUUCACUCAUUCACAAUUCCACCAGACUUGGACUACCAGCCAAAGAUUCUGCAGAUCUGGAAUAAAUAACCAUUUCCUGCCUACA